rnacentral:RNase_P_RNA from 1 species
AGCAAGCUGGGCAGCCGCGGGGCGAGGCCGAAAGGCCCGUUCUGAGGAAAGUCCGGGCUCCAUAGGGCAAGGAUAACGGGUAACACCCGCCGGGGGCGACCCCAGGAAAAGUGCAACAGAGAGAUACCGCCUCCCCCCUUUUGGGGGCACUGCGAAAACUGCGUUUUCGUGGGGAGAGGUAAGGAUGGAAAGGCGGAGGUAAGAGCCCGCCCGAUGGCUGGGAACAGUCCAUCGCUGUAAACUCUAUCCGGAGCAACACCGUGGGAGCACGCAUGGCCGGCCCGGCUGUGCUCGGGAGGUGGCUGGAGCGUGUCGGCAACGGCACGUCGAGAUAGAUGGCUGUCUUGAAUGACAGAACCCGGCUUACAGGCUUACUUG